UACGUAGGGUGCGAGCGUUAAUCGGAAUUACUGGGCGUAAAGCGUGCGCAGGCGGUUUUGUAAGCCAGAUGUGAAAUCCCCGGGCUUAACCUGGGAAUGGCAUUUGGGACUGCAAGGCUUGAGUUUGGCAGAGGAGACUGGAAUUCCUGGUGUAGCAGUGAAAUGCGUAGAUAUCAGGAGGAAUACCGAUGGCGAAGGCAGGUCUCUGGGCUAGAACUGACGCUCAUGCACGAAAGCGUGGGGAGCAAACAAGG
rnacentral:rRNA from 1 species